UUUGGCCUAUCGGUCCUGAACUCUUAUAAGCCUUAAGUGGAUAUUAAACAGUUUUUGUAGCAUGACUUACCCUCCCUGAGUGGUUAUUGCUUUGGUAAUCCCAUAUGUUAAAUGCUGCCAUGAUUAGCCAGGAAUAGAGAAAAUUUAUUGAUACUUACCGUAAUUUUCCUUUCCUGGCUAUUAUUCAUGGCAGCAUUUGGUCUCCCACCCUCUCUUGGUUUAUUUGUCUUGUUACUAGACUGAGGUGUGGGGGAUACUGGGGUACCUAAUAUACUAGGGGAAGGUAGGCUUAAUUGUUU